rnacentral:rRNA from 1 species
GCAAGUCGAACGAUGAAGCUUCUAGCUUGCUAGAAGUGGAUUAGUGGCGCACGGGUGAGUAAGGUAUAGUUAAUCUGCCCUACACAAGAGGACAACAGUUGGAAACGACUGCUAAUACUCUAUACUCCUGCUUAACACAAGUUGAGUAGGGAAAGUUUUUCGGUGUAGGAUGAGACUAUAUAGUAUCAGCUAGUUGGUAAGGUAAUGGCUUACCAAGGCUAUGACGCUUAACUGGUCUGAGAGGAUGAUCAGUCACACUGGAACUGAGACACGGUCCAGACUCCUACGGGAGGCAGCAGUAGGGAAUAUUGCGCAAUGGGGGAAACCCUGACGCAGCAACGCCGCGUGGAGGAUGACACUUUUCGGAGCGUAAACUCCUUUUCUUAGGGAAGAAUUCUGACGGUACCUAAGGAAUAAGCACCGGCUAACUCCGUGCCAGCAGCCGCGGUAAUACGGAGGGUGCAAGCGUUACUCGGAAUCACUGGGCGUAAAGGGCGCGUAGGCGGAUUAUCAAGUCUCUUGUGAAAUCUAAUGGCUUAACCAUUAAACUGCUUGGGAAACUGAUAGUCUAGAGUGAGGGAGAGGCAGAUGGAAUUGGUGGUGUAGGGGUAAAAUCCGUAGAUAUCACCAAGAAUACCCAUUGCGAAGGCGAUCUGCUGGAACUCAACUGACGCUAAGGCGCGAAAGCGUGGGGAGCAAACAGGAUUAGAUACCCUGGUAGUCCACGCCCUAAACGAUGUACACUAGUUGUUGGGGUGCUAGUCAUCUCAGUAAUGCAGCUAACGCAUUAAGUGUACCGCCUGGGGAGUACGGUCGCAAGAUUAAAACUCAAAGGAAUAGACGGGGACCCGCACAAGCGGUGGAGCAUGUGGUUUAAUUCGAAGAUACGCGAAGAACCUUACCUGGGCUUGAUAUCCUAAGAACCUUAUAGAGAUAUGAGGGUGCUAGCUUGCUAGAACUUAGAGACAGGUGCUGCACGGCUGUCGUCAGCUCGUGUCGUGAGAUGUUGGGUUAAGUCCCGCAACGAGCGCAACCCACGUAUUUAGUUGCUAACGGUUCGGCCGAGCACUCUAAAUAGACUGCCUUCGUAAGGAGGAGGAAGGUGUGGACGACGUCAAGUCAUCAUGGCCCUUAUGCCCAGGGCGACACACGUGCUACAAUGGCAUAUACAAUGAGACGCAAUACCGCGAGGUGGAGCAAAUCUAUAAAAUAUGUCCCAGUUCGGAUUGUUCUCUGCAACUCGAGAGCAUGAAGCCGGAAUCGCUAGUAAUCGUAGAUCAGCCAUGCUACGGUGAAUACGUUCCCGGGUCUUGUACUCACCGCCCGUCACACCAUGGGAGUUGAUUUCACUCGAAGCCGGAAUACUAAACUAGUUACCGUCCACAGUGGAAUUAGCGACUGGG